GAUGAACGCUAGCGGCAGGCCUAAUACAUGCAAGUCGAACGAGAUCAAGGACUUCGGUUCUUGGUUUAGUGGCGCACGGGUGCGUAACGCGUAUGCAACCUACCUUCCACAGGGGGAUAGCCCACCGAAAGGUGGAUUAAUACCGCAUAACACAGAUGAGUGGCAUCGCUUAACUGUCAAAGAUUUAUCGGUGGAAGAUGGGCAUGCGUGCCAUUAGCUAGUUGGUAGUGUAACGGACUACCAAGGCUUCGAUGGCUAGGGGUUCUGAGAGGAUGGUCCCCCACACUGGUACUGAGACACGGACCAGACUCCUACGGGAGGCAGCAGUAGGGAAUAUUGGGCAAUGGCCGAGAGGCUGACCCAGCCAUGCCGCGUGCAGGAAGAAGGCCUUCUGGGUUGUAAACUGCUUUUAUCUAGGAAGAAAACGCCCCUGCGGGGGUAACUGACGGUACUAGAUGAAUAAGCACCGGCUAACUCCGUGCCAGCAGCCGCGGUAAUAC
rnacentral:rRNA from 1 species